rnacentral:rRNA from 1 species
UACGUAGGCAGCAAGCGUUGUUCGGAAUUACUGGGCGUAAAGAGUGUGUAGGCGGUUCUCUAAGUUCCGUGUGAAAUCUCCCGGCUUAACUGGGAGGGUGCGCGGAAGACUGGAGGGCUGGAGUAUGGGAGAGGAAAGCGGAAUUCCUGGUGUAGCGGUGAAAUGCGUAGAUAUCAGGAGGAACACCUGCGGUGUAGACAGCUUUCUGGACCAUGACUGACGCUGAGGCACGAAAGCGUGGGGAGCAAACAGG